AUUGAACGCUGGCGGCAGGCCUAACACAUGCAAGUCGAACGAGUUGCGGACGGGUGAGUAAUGUAUGGGAAACUGCCUGAUGGAGGGGGAUAACUACUGGAAACGGUAGCUAAUACCGCAUACCAUCGGAUGUGCCCAGAUGGGAUUAGCUAGUGGGUGGGGUAACGGCUCACCAAGGCGAAGAUCCCUAGCUGGUCUGAGAGGAUGACCAGCAACACUGGAGCUGAGACACGGUCCAGACUCCUACGGUAGGCAGCAGUGGGGAAUAUUGCACAAUGGGCGCAAGCCUGAUGCAGCCAGGCCGCGUGUAUGAAGAAGGCCUUCGGGUUGUAAAGUACUUUCAGCGGGGAGGCGUUACCCGCAGAAGAAGCACCGGCUAACUCCGUGCCAGCCGCCGCGGUAAUAC
rnacentral:rRNA from 1 species